UGGGUAUAGCUCAGUGGUAGAGCACUUGCCAAGCAUACAGGAGGCCCUGGGUUCCAUCCCCAACACCUCAG
rnacentral:tRNA from 1 species